rnacentral:rRNA from 1 species
GACGAACGCUGGCGGCGUGCCUAAUACAUGCAAGUUGAGCGCUGAAGGUUGGUACUUGUCCCAACUGGCUGAGCAGCGAACGGGUGAGUAACGCGUGGGGAAUCUGCCUUUGAGCGGGGGACAACAUUUGGAAACGAAUGCUAAUACCGCAUAAAAACUUUAAACACAAGUUUUAAGUUUGAAAGAUGCAAUUGCAUCACUCAAAGAUGAUCCCGCGUUGUAUUAGCUAGUUGGUGAGGUAAAGGCUCACCAAGGCGAUGAUACAUAGCCGACCUGAGAGGGUGAUCGGCCACAUUGGGACUGAGACACGGCCCAAACUCCUACGGGAGGCAGCAGUAGGGAAUCUUCGGCAAUGGACGAAAGUCUGACCGAGCAACGCCGCGUGAGUGAAGAAGGGUUUCGGAUCGUAAAACUCUGUUGGUAGAGAAGAACGUUGGUGAGAGUGGAAAGCUCAUCAAGUGACGGUAACUACCCAGAGAGGGACGGCUAACUACGUG